AGAGUUUGAUCCUGGCUCAGGAUGAACGCUAGCGGCAGGCCUAAUACAUGCAAGUCGAACGGUGGCAGCAAUGUCAUAGUGGCGCACGGGUGCGUAACACGUAACUAACCUACCUAUAACUGGGGGAUAGCCCGCCGAAAGGCGGAUUAAUACCGCAUAAGCUGCUUGGGUGGCAUCACCUGGAUAGUAAAGAUUUAUUGGUUAUAGAUGGGGUUGCGGGUCAUUAGCUAGUUGGUAAGGUAACGGCUUACCAAGGCGACGAUGACUAGGGGAGCUGAGAGGCUGGUCCCCCACACGGGCACUGAGAUACGGGCCCGACUCCUACGGGAGGCAGCAGUAGGGAAUAUUGGGCAAUGGACGAGAGUCUGACCCAGCCAUGCCGCGUGCAGGAAGAAGGCUUUCUGAGUCGUAAACUGCUUUUGACAGGGAAGAAUAAGCUUCACGUGUGGAGUGAUGACGGUACCUGCAGAAUAAGCACCGGCUAACUCCGUG
rnacentral:rRNA from 1 species